rnacentral:rRNA from 1 species
UACGUAGGGUGCAAGCGUUGUCCGGAAUUAUUGGGCGUAAAGAGCUCGUAGGCGGUUUGUCGCGUCUGCUGUGAAAACUCGGGGGCUUAACUCCGGGCCUGACAGUGGGUACGGGCAGACUAGAGUGAGCGGUAGGGGAGACUGGAAUUCCUGGUGGUAGACGGUGAAAUGCGCAGAUAGUCAGGAGGAACACCGGUGGCGAAGGCGGCAUCCUGGACCGGCAUUGACGCUGAUGAGCGGAAAGCUAGGGGAGCAAACGGG